CCGGGCAGCGGCGGUCGGUGGCCAGCCUCUGGCUGGGGACCCGAGGCUGUGCAGCGAAGUCAGCCGGCGGCGGGGCUCCUUGAGGCGGCAUCCAUAGCUGCAGCUUGCCGACGCCGGCUCACCGGAGCCAGAUGAGGUCGGAGGCGGAGGCGCGGGGUAGUGCGCGUUCAAACCCGGCGACGGCUCCCGAUGUAUGGUGGCGGCGGCUG
rnacentral:lncRNA from 1 species